UCCAUCCGGGCCUCGUCCGAACGCGGUGACGUCAGCUAUAUAAAGGCCCUCGGCGCCUUUGUUCCCUCUCAGUGCGUCGUUGCCGUUCUUACUGGUCGGGACGAGAUCCCAAACAGUGUCAAAAUGGUUGAAGCAGAUCGCCCUGGGAAGCUGUUCAUUGGUGGGCUGAACACAGAGACCAACGAAAAGGCUCUUGAAUCUGUCUUUGGCAAAUAUGGUCGCAUAGUGGAAGUUCUCCUUAUGAAAGAUCGUGAAACCAACAAAUCAAGAGGAUUUGCUUUUGUUACCUUUGAGAGUCCAGCAGAUGCUAAGGAUGCUGCCAGAGAUAUGAAUGGAAAGUCUUUAGACGGAAAAGCCAUUAAAGUUGAACAAGCUACCAAGCCAUCCUUUGAAACCGGUAGGCGUGGCCCCCCACCCCCUCCAAGGAGCAGAGGUCCUCCAAGAGGUCUUAGAGGUGGAAGAGGCGGAAGUGGAACACGGGGGCCUCCUUCAAGAGGGAGUCAUUUGGGUUCUUCUAGAGGUCCUCUCCCAAUGAAGAGGGGUCCACCUCCUCGUAGUGGUGGUCCACCACCUAAGAGACCUGCGCCUUCAGGACCUGUUCGUAGCAGUAGUGGAAUGGGUGGCAGAGCGCCCUUGUCACGUGGUAGAGACAGUUACGGAGGACCUCCACGCAGAGAACCACUGUCAUCACGAAGAGAUGUCUACUUGUCUCCUAGAGAUGAUGGAUACAGUACUAAAGACAGCUAUUCAAGUCGAGACUAUCCAAGCUCCAGGGACACAAGGGAUUAUGCUCUCCCACCAAGGGAUUAUGCCUACCGUGAUUAUGGUCAUUCCAGUUCACGUGAUGAGUACCCCUCAAGAGGAUACAGUUCCAGAGACACAAAGGAUUAUGAUCCACCUCCAAGAGAUUAUGCCUACCGUGAUUAUGGUCAUUCCAGUUCACGAGAUGAGUACCCCUCAAGAGGUUACAGUUAUUCCUCUUACAGCGAUCGUGAUGGUUACGGAGGGCGUGACCGGGACUACUCGGAUCACCCAAGUGGGGGCUCUUACAGAGAUUCAUAUGAGAGUUAUGGCUGACCUCUUCCUUUAAGAUGUGAUCUGGGAUGCAGUACAUAGAUUAAUAGUGCAUUACGUGGAUGUAGCAGAUGACACAGAUGCUUCCUGUAACCAGUACAACAGGUAAGCCAGAGGUACAAGAUUAAUUGUGACUGACACUUUGAAGAGUGGAUGCCUAUGGAGAGUGCGGUUGCUGAGCAGGCUAAAAUGUGUCUACAGGUUUAAUGAAGACAUUUUAGAAGGAAGUCAGAUCUUAAACGCCAGUGUCACUUGGCUGUGAGCACUGGAUGUUAAUAAAGAGGAAGAUUCCUAAAUGUCAGAACAGUCGGAUGCAAAUUAUUUGUUCCCUCUUACAAACGUGAUGCAAAAGCUGUGGCAUCUAACUUGCUACUCUUUGACAGUAGAGGACCCACAGUUGGGCCCUCUGUAUUAGGCAUGCUGAAGUGCUAUCUAAGGCAGUUACUUCACAAAUGUAGGAGAAGAAUUUUUAAAGCUUGGCAGAUCAAUGUUUUGAACUACAAGGAAAUUAGGAAGUCAGGAAACUGCAAGAGUACAAAUAAGAUUGGUAGUCUCAUGAAUUAAAAUUAAACUGAAAAGGCCGUCUGUUAAUAGUAGAAUAGACAAAAUUGUGUGGGCUUAAGAAAUGGGUUCUGAAAUACUACUAAACAUGGAUCUAGUAUUGAUAGGAAUUAGAUGAGGCCUUCUGUUCUCUUUUGUAACUAGCUUUUUGGAAGAUUACUUUGGAAAUGAGGUAGUACCACCAAUGUAAGUAGCCUUAUUCAAAACAGAAUUGUAUCAACCAGGAAAAGUUCCUAAACCAAAAAUGGUUGGAAAUUCUCACAAUUGCAAAUACCCAAGAAGCAAAGAUUGUAUUCAAUUUAUUGUCAAAAUAAAGGGUUUUUUUUCUGA